rnacentral:lncRNA from 1 species
ACUGACAACAUCUUGACUAACAGAACUAGAGGCUCUAAAGAGCCUGUGUCGCUCACCUUGGUCAAUGUGAAUAUUAAACAAUGGACACAGAUGGAUUCAUGAAAAAAUUGUGUUUUGGUGAUGGUGAUGUGUUUGUAGAUCUUACUUUACUAAACAUUCUUGCUGCUGACAAUUAUCUCUAUCUAUAACAGUACUUUCUGUGGAAAAUGUUAUUGAAAAUCUUCAAAUUUUAAGAAAAUUGUUAAAAAUUGACUAUGAAGGGCAAUAACUCCUUAGGGGUCAAUUGACUAUUUUGGUCAUAGUGACUUAUUUUUAGUUCUUACUUUGCUGUACAGUAUUGCUGUUUACAGUUUAUCUCUAUCUAUAAUAAUAUUCAAGAUAACAAAAAAAAAAGCAAAAUUUACUCAAAAUUACCAAUUCAGGGGCAGCAACCUAACAACCGAUUAUCCAAUUCAUCUGAAAAUUCCGGGGCAGAUAGAUCGUGACCUGAUCAACAAUUUUACUUCCUGCCAAAUGCUUUGUUUUUUGAGUUAUAAGCCAAAAACUGCAUUUUACCCCCAUGUUCUAUUUUUAGCCAUGGCGGCCAUCUUGGUUUGUUGGCCGAGUUACCGGACACAUUUUUUUUAACUAGAUACCCCAAUUAUGGCUAAGUCUGGUUAAAUUUGGCCCAGUAGUUUCAGAGGAGAAGAUUUUUCUAAAAGAUUACUAAGAUUUGCUCUAAAUGCUUUGGUUUUUGAGUUAUAAGCCAAAAACUGCAUUUUACCCCUAUGUCCUAUUUUUAGCCAUGGCGGCCAUCUUGGUUGGUUGGCCGGGUCACCGGACACAUUUUUUUAACUAGAUAGGCCAAUAAUGAUUAUGGCCAAGUUUGGUUAAAUUUGGCCCAGUAGUUUCAGAGAAGAAGAUUUUUCUAAAAGAUUACUAAGAUUUAAGAAAAAUUGUUAAAAAUUGACUAUAAAGGGCAAUAACUCCUAAAGUGGUCAACUGACCAUUUUGGUCAUGUUGACUUAUUUGUAGAUCUUACUUUGCUGAACAUUAUUGCUGUUUACAGUUUAUCUCUAUCUAUAAUAAUAUUCAAGAUAAUAACCAAAAACAGCAAAAUUUCCUUAAAAUUAUCAAUUCAGGGGCAGCAACCCAACAACGGGUUGUUCGAUUCAUCUGAAAAUUUCAGGGCAGAUAGAUCUUGACCUGAUGAACAAUUUUACUCCAUGUCAGAUUUGCUCUAAAUGCUCUGGUGUUUUAGUUAUAAGCCAAAAACUGCAUUUUACCCCUAUGUUCUAUUUUUAGCCAUGGCGGCCAUCUUAGUUGGUUGGAUGGGUCACGCCACACAUUUUUUAAACUAGAUACCCCAAUAAUGAUUGUGGCCAAGUUUGGAUUAAUUUGUCCCAGUAGUUUCAGAGGAGAAGAUUUUUGUAAAAGAUAACUAAGAUUUACGAAAAAUGGUUAAAAAUGGACUAAAAAGGGCAAUAACUCCUAAAGGGGUCAACUGACCAUUUCGGUCCCGUUGACUUAUUUGUAAAUCUUACUUUGCUGAACAUUAUUGCUGUUAACAGUUAAACUCUAUCUAUAAUAAUAUUCAAGAUAAUAACCAAAAACAGCAAAAUUUCCUUAAAAUUAUCAAUUCAGGGGCAGCAACCCAACAACGGGUUGUCCGAUUCAUCUGAAAAUUUCAGGGCAGAUAGAUCUUGACCUGAUAACCAAUUUUACCCCAUCUCAGAUUUGCUCUAAAUGCUUUGGUUUUUGAGUUAUAACCCAAAAACUGCAUUUUACCCCUAUGUUCUAUUUUUAGCCAUGGCGGCCAUCUUGGUUGGUUGGCCGGGUCACGCCACACAUUUUUUUAAACUAGAUACCCCAAUGAUGAUUUUGGUCAAGUUUGGUUAAAUUUGGCCCAGUAGUUUCAGAGGAGAAGAUUUUUGUAAAAGUUAACGACGACGGACGACGGACGACGACGACGGACGCCGGACGCAAAGUGAUGGGUAUAGCUCACUUGGCCCUUCGGGCCAGGUGAGCUAAAAAU